ACAAUCUUCCUUCACAGCCAUAGCCAGCAAACAUGAAGAAUCUCCAUUUCCUGAUUUCCCUCUUCUUUCUCUUCUCUUACUUCCUUUCUCUUGUGUUUUCCUUUUCUCCUACUCAGACUCAUCUCCCAAAACAAUAUUGCCUUGAUGACCAGAGAUUCUCUCUGUUGCAAUUGCAGCAUGAUCUCUACUAUGCCCCAAAUUUUACUUUCACUUCCAAAUUUGAGUUGUGGGAUCUCAACACUGAUUGUUGCUCUUGGGAAGGUGUUACCUGUGAUGAUGCCAUUGGUCAUGUCACUGGCCUUGAUCUAAGCUACAAAAACCUUUCCGGGACCUUUCACUCCAUUUUCGAUCUCCAUCAUCUUCAGCACCUUAACCUUGCUGGAAACAAUUUCAACACCACUCUGCCUUCCUAUGGGUUUGAUAAACUCCCAAAUCUAACUCAUCUCAACCUUUCAAGCUCAUGUUUCCAUGGCCAAAUUCCAGUGGAGAUCUCAUACUUAACACGGUUAGUUUCUCUUGAUCUAUCUUAUCAAGAUGAUUGCUAUCGGAUAAAUCAGUAUUAUGAUGAUGAUUUAGCUACUCUAAAACUAGAGAAACCAAGCUUCAAGACAUUGAUCAAGAAUUUGAAGUUUCUCAGAGAGCUUCAUUUGGAUGGUGUAGACAUUUCAUCUCAAAAUAGUAAAUGGUGUGAAGCCACAUCUCUAGUACUUUCCAACCUACAAGUGAUGAGCUUGGCAAAUUGUGGUUUAAAAGGUCCAUUAUGCUCUUCAUUCUCAAGACUUCCUUUUCUUUCCAAACUUAUCCUUGAUGGAAACCCCAUCUCUUAUCUACCUUCCAAUUUCUUGAAAAAUUCCUCCCAUUUGAUUUCUGUCCGUUUAGUAAGUUGUGAUUUGAGUGGACAUUUUCCAACAGAAAUUCUCUUAUUGCCAAGAAUUCAAAGCAUUGACCUUUCAUAUAAUGAGCAACUUAUGGGUCAGUUUCCAGAAUUUCCAUCUAAUAGUGCUUUACAGAGUCUCUCACUUUCAGAAACAAAUUUCAGCGGAAAGUUACCCGAAUCAAUUGGUAGCCUUAAGUUUUUGACAGACUUAACUCUUGAUGGUUGCAAUUUUUUUGGAUCCAUUCCAUGUUCAAUUGCAAAUCUUAGUCACCUGGUGAAGCUGGAUCUAUCAGAUAACAAAUUCAGUGGUUUGAUCCCUCCCUUCCAUACAUUUGGAGUUCCAAAUCUUGCAUAUCUCAAUUUGGAAUCCAACAUGCUUUCUGGAUCAAUACAUUCUUCUUUAUUUACUCUUCCAUCAUUGCGGACCUUGUCUCUCAUAGAAACCCAAUUUGUUGGGAAAAUUGAUGAGUUCUCCAAUGCAUCUUCUUCAUUGAUGGAGGAAUUAUAUUUAGGAGAUAAUUAUUUAUCGGGACCAAUCCCGAAGUCGAUACUUCAACUUCGGAGGCUUGAAGAGCUUUAUAUUUAUGGCAAUAGCCUUGGUUCUAUGAAACUUAACAUGUUCUUCGAGAUAAAUAACUUAAGGUUUCUUAGCCUAUACGACAUAGGCUUGUUAACUGAAAGUGACAACAAAAACCUUACUUUUCCCCAGCUGGACACAUUGCAUCUAAGCUCAUGCAACCUUACUGAAUUUCCAGAAUUCAUCAAAACACAAGACAAGUUGGUUGAGCUAGAUCUUUCUAACAACCAUAUCCAUGGUGUUGUGCCUAACUGGUUGUGGAAGGGCUCUCUUUCAUGGGUAGACCUUUCUUUCAAUCCAAUUGAUUUCCCAAAACAGGUUCCCAUAGGUGAUGCAAGCUUCUCUUUUCCAAAGCUGACAAAUUUAUAUAUGAGCUCCUGUAACAUAAGUGCAUUUUCAGAGUUCUUAAGGAGUCAAGAAAAUUUAGUUGAACUCGACCUUUCAAAUAACACAAUAAGUGGUGCAAUACCAAACUGGGUGUGGAAGAAAAGUUUGCGUGAUCUGAGACUUGCUAAUAACCAUCUCUCAUCUUUGGACCAACUUUUACCCAACCACAGUUUAACUUCUUUGCAAGGCUCCUUACCUUCACCUAUUUGCAAUAUGAGUAGACUUUUCCUUUUUGAUGCAUCUUAUAACAAUUUGAGCGGCCUCAUUCCAAGCUGCUUAGGCAGUUUGAGUGCUCUCACUUUGUUGAAUUUGCAAGGAAAUAACUUUGUUGGAAUAUUACCAGAAUUUUCAAAAGCAAACCAACUACAACUUCUCAUAGUAAGUGAGAAUAGAUUAGAAGGGAAGUUGCCAAGAUCAUUAUCGGAAUGCACUCAGCUUCAAGUUUUAGAUGUCGGAAACAACACUAUGCAUGAUACAUUCCCCUUUUGGUUGGAGAAAUUGCCUGCAUUGAUGCUUCUAAUAUUGCGAUAUAAUAAAUUUUAUGGUCAAAUUAAACCUUUCAAAAGUAAAAUUGUUUUCCCAUCUUUGGAUGUGUUGGACAUUGCCUCUAACGAAUUUUCUGGCGAACUAUCCAUUAAUUUCUUUCAAGCCACUCAACUAAGGUCACUCAAAAUAGGUGGGAAUAAAUUGGGAGGGAAUCUGCCAAGAUCGUUAGCCAAUUGUACAAAACUUGAAGUUUUGGACCUUGGAAACAAUAUGCUUCAUGAUACAUUCCCGUUUUGGUUGGAGAAGUUGCCUUCCUUGAAGGUUCUCAUUCUGCGAGCAAACAGAUUUUAUGGUACAACUAAAGUGUUUGACACCGAACGUGGUUUUCCAAUGCUACGCAUAUUGGACAUUGCUUCCAACAACUUUUCAGGUUACUUGUCCAUUGAAUUUUUGAGAAGUUUGAAGGCAAUAACAAUGCUGACUGAUGGUGACAAAGUAAAGCUGGAUUACAUUGGAGACGAGAACUAUCAAGACUCUGUGACAAUUGUCAACAAAGGGGUUGAAAUGUUUUAUCAGAAAGUCUUAACCAUUCUCACUUGUCUUGACCUUUCCAAUAACAGCUUCCAUGGGAGAAUACCAGAAGAAAUACAAAUUCUCAAGUCACUCAAAGUGCUAAACUUAUCCAGCAAUGACUUCUCCGGAGGAAUACCAUCAGCACUUGACAACCUAAAAGACCUCGAGUCUUUGGAUCUCUCACAGAACAAGCUCUCGGGGAAGAUUCCUCCACAGCUUGCAAGUCUAACUUUCUUGGAAGUAUUGAACUUAUCUUACAACCAACUUGAAGGGAGCAUACCACAAGGAAACCAAUUCAAUACAUUUGCAAAUGAUUCUUACCGGGGGAACCCAAAAUUAUGCGGAACACCAUUUUCAAGGAAUUGCAAUGAAGUUGGUCUUCCAAUGCCACCUCCUCCAGGGGAAGAUGAAGAAGAAUCAUGGUUAGAUGUUAUGUCUACUUGGCAAAUUGCUUUGGUAGGCUAUGGAAGUGGUUUGGUGGUUGGGAUAUGUAUUGGAUAUACAGUGCUGAAUGAGCUGGGAAACAAAUGGGUUUACAAGUUGACAAGGCGUGGGAAAAGAAAUAGAAGAACUAGGUGACUCCAUCAGAAUUCAUGAUUUAAAAUCAGUUGGUUAGCAUUUCCUUUUGAAACUAGACAGGUAUUUUCAGCCCCUUUUCCCUUAUUCCCAUGAACUGGUGUGUAGUUGAAAAGCCAAUUUACUUUUGUUUCUAAUGAUUUAUGUUGCAAAUUAUGCCAGCCCGCAUUGCAUUGUGUUGUCGGAUUCACGUUGUCCGGGAAAUUGCAAAAUGGUGUAACAACAACUAAUCUGCUUCCUACUCUAACUCAGAUGUUGAGAAAGCUUGGAGUUGAGUUUCAUGACGAGGUCUAUGAUCAUAAAUCUCGAACACGGAGAGGGUUUGGCAGAAUUUAUCUGUAGAUCAUAUAUUGCUACAAUACCUUAAGAUAACUGGUAAACGUGAUGAGCAGUAAGUGUUCUCUUUCCUUCUCGUUUGGCAUGUUUGAGAAGUUAUAUCAUCUGUAGUUUGACUUAUGUUUUGUAAUGCGAACAACAAGAUCGUUUCCGUUAUCUUCUCGAUUUCGUUGCAGGGGCCAAAAUAUCUAGUGUCUUGGCUGCCAAACUCAAGAAUCAAGAUCAUAAUGGUUAUAUAUAUACAGGCGAUUGGGAGAUAAUUAAUGUCAUUUGAAGACAUAUGAUGAUGGCUAUGCUACGCUUCAAUUCACAAACCAUUUGGGGGUAAUCUUUCUCUGCUACUGCAAUUUCAUUACAAUAAUGCUGUUAUAAAACAGAUCAUGGAGCCAUAAGGUGACAAUCUCAGUGACAACAUUGAAGGAGCAGAACUGGAUUCUUCACGGAUUGCUGGCUUAAAACCGACUUCUUAAUUUCUCUCUACGAUCGUUUUCACAGAGAUGUCCGUUGGUAUAACACUGAGUCGGGGACCCUAAAAGUCCGUUCUUGGCUGGCCAAGCAUGGGUUGGAGGAUAAUUGAAAAUGGAAGCCCUGUGCUCGCUGUAACACAAGAUGGUAAAACAUGAUGGCCAUCAGAUGUUCCGGAAAUCCAGGGGAAUGCCUGAGAGGGAGACUGUAGAUGAUCCAGUUGAGCUUAGACGGGAAAGCGAGACUAUACAUGACGAGCUUGCUAUUCAGCACAUGGGAUCGACAAUUCUAUCCGGAACUUGAGAAGAAAGGUUACCACAUGCUGCGGGUUGAUGUCGACACCAAGAAAGGUGGUCUUAAAAUAAACCCGGAUUUUUUGUCGUUUUCGGAGCUGAACCUGAAGGCCCUCGCCUGGUUCAUGAGAUAAGAUAUACAGGUGGUGACUGCACUUCAGAUAUUUGGAUUUAAGCAACUCAAAACCAGUUUGGCUAUGAAGAAAUCAUCCUUUGUAAUUUGUUGGAAAAAAAUGACAAAUAACAAUCAAUGGAACCAUAUGGUCUACAAGCAA